GGUCACGAAAUGGCCCACAUAAUUUUUUAAAAUUCCACGCCGGGUCCGCUUUUCUGCGUUACCAGGAAGGCCGUGGCAGCAGACCCGAAGGACAUCGAUCCAGUAGGACAGCGGAUCGAUGAAGUCCUGCCACGUCUGUCCAAACUGCCCUACCACGUCUACCGAAGGGGCAGCUUCCAGCCAAGAUACGAGGGCUUCUACAGCUCACCGUAUUGCCGUACGUAAGGUAUAUGCGAUGGCAGAACCGACAGCAACUGACGGGGCCUUUACGACAGUCAGUAACUGUAGCUCAUCUACACGUACACACACUAAAUGGAAGCUGAACAGUGUAACCCUCUUCCAUGGACAUCAUGCAAGCACCACGAAGAGAAGACCAUUACCUCGCUCAAGACUGUCCUUGAGUGAAAAGAAGUGUCAUACUCCCACUCUGAGCACGGCUCCUUUUGAAUCGAAGUUCCAUUGUCGGGAACUACAGGCUCGGAUAAUAUAAAGUCUGCUUCCCGCUGAUACACUGUACACCGACUCCUUGCCAACGAACCUUCUUCCGUGGGCUCAAAGGGAAUGCUGUAGUUCCACCACAGUUCCCUGGACAAGUUGGCGAAUUGGGCAGGUGGCGCACACCAGUGGUCUUGAUGAGCCGGUGCCAUAAAGGUGAGACCCAUGAUGAACUGCGCCGCUGGAAAGCCCCUCAUCGCGCAGAAGAGCAGCACGGGGAUGUGCCACGGACCGAUCUUCUCCAGGAUGGACCACAUCUUUUGCCUUGGAAAUGAAAAAGAAGAGCGUCGGAGGGCAAGAUAACCAAGGAAUCAAGGAACUCCACUGAUAUCUGAGAUCAGUGUAACAGAUGAAGUUUUCAUCACCAAUUCAACUUCUGAAGAACAUGUAGCAGCACUAGCGCCAUCGGAUGAUGGCAGCUCAGUUUGAACUCAUCUUUGAGUAAAUUUUUCUGUUUCC